GACGAACGCUGGCGGCGUGCCUAAUACAUGCAAGUCGAACGAAGUGGGGACGGGUGAGUAACAAGUGGGUAACCUACCAUCAGAGGGGAAAACACUUGGAAACAGGUGCUAAACCGAUACUGAUGGAUGGACCCGCGGUGCAUUAGAGAGUUGUGGAGGAAACGGCUCACCAAGGCCACGAUGCAUAGCCGACCUGAUGCUGUUAUCUGCCACCCUGGGACUCAGACACGGCCCAGACUCCUACGUGCUGCAUCAGUAGGGAAUCGUCGGCAAUGGACGAAAGUCUGACCGAGCAACGCCGCUUGAGUGAAGAAGGUUUUCGGAUCGUAAAACUCUGUUGUUAGAUAAGCGGUAUCUAACCAGAAAGCCACGGCUAACUACGUGCCAGCAGCCGCGGUAAUUC
rnacentral:rRNA from 1 species